GCAAUACCAUCUUACACUUUGACAGCCACCAUCCAAUUCCCUUAAAAAGUUCCAUCCCUUAUGGGCAAUAUUUGCGGCUCCGCCGCAAUUGCUCAACAGACUCGCUCUUCAGGGAGGAGGCAGACCAACUCCAGACUAGACUUCUAACCAGAGGAUAUAGUAGAAAAUGCCUGCGCAGGGCCUAUAACCGAUCCUCUACUCAAUUAAGAAAUGAUCUCUUAUCGAAAAAGAAAACUAUAACUGACUUCAAAUCCGAGACCACUAGACCAGUCUUCCGCUACUCUUUGCAACACAAAGCGAUAAAAGACAUAAUACAGAAACACUGGACAAUCUUAACCGAUGACCCUAAAAUUAAUCCCUUCAUUACUACACAUCCCUCCAUUAUACAUAGGCGGGCCAUGUCUAUUAGGGAUUCUUUAGUGUCUAGUGAGUUCAAGGAUACUACAAAUGAGAAACUACGGUGUUCCCUACCUGGUACCUUCCAGUGUGGACACUGCUCAUGCUGUUACCUAAUAAGAAGAGAAAAAACCUUUAGCCUCCCAAAUGGCGAGACUUUCAAGCCCAAAUAUUUUGUGAAUUGCCGCACACGCGGAGUGGUGUAUCUCAUGGAGUGCGAGUGUGGGGCCUAUUACAUAGGUAAAACUAAACAGGAAUUCCAAAAACGAAUCUCCAAACACAAGUAUAGUAUGACCAUUGGGAACAUUUACCUCCCCAUAGGGAGGCAUGUUGCCCUCUCUCAUAACUAUCGUGUACCACACGUAAGUUUUGCCGCCCUCGAUCAUGUUCUUGUUCCAGAUCGGGGAGGCGACUGGAAUAAAACCUUACUACAGCGCGAACAGAAAUGGAUAUUCAGGCUGGGGGCUACUCAGCAACCAGGCCUGAAUGAUGCCCUUUCAUUCGCCCCCUUUUUAAAGGGUUUCACCUCGGGAAAAACCCAAUAAAAUUGUUCUAUGUAUAUAUUAUACUCUUGACUAAAUACCAACACAUGUCACGUCCAUGGCACCACUAGCAGAAUUAAUAUAUGGCCAAUAUCCAUAUAUCUGGAUGCUUCUGUUCCAAAUACAUAAAAAAAAAAAAAAAAAAUUUGGUACAAUCAAUAUUAUUAUUACUUUGUAUAUUUUCUCUUAUCCCAAAAAACUCCAAAUAGCCACUCGGAACAUCUCUAUAUCCCUAUAUCCCCCUCUAAGUAUCACAGUCCAUAGUUAGACAAUUCAACAUAUGCUUACCCACCCACAGUGGCAAUGCCAGAUGUUCAUGAUAAAACUCCAAAAAAUAAGCAUAUAUGGUCUAUGCAUAAAUCUUUUGACAUCCACUGCUCAUGAUCAAUGCUGUGACUGUAAUAUAAUCAUGUAUGUAAUCUCUGCUGUGACGGGCAUAAAUGUUUAUUUUCAGCAGAAUUUAUUUCUAUAUCUAUAAAUAAGUACUUUAUUAAUAUAUAUUUUUUCUUCCUAUAGGACCCUGUCAUGUCUCCACCGGGUGGUUUUUCCCUCUUGAGUGCCUCUACAAUUUGCUACCUUUGUGGUCUCUCAGUGGGGAGGGGGAGACGCAGGGCCCUGUGUUCUCUUCUUCCUCCACAAGAUGGUGCUCACUGCGCCAUGAUGGAGGUGUUUCCUCCCCACUGACGGCGUCAGCGACGCUCCCUGGAGCCGUGGACGCCCCGUGCGCGCGCGCAGUGCGCGCGCACGUGACGUCACUGCGGCGCUCGCGAUCGCAACAGAGGGUUGGGGUUAAUUCCCUUCUCUGACGCCGAGGAGCUCACAGCUGGGAGGGUCAUCUGACCCUGGCAUCCUGGUUCAGUUGGAGGAGCCUGUUUGGGAGGGGCAGUCCACCAGGUUGGACAGGGAUUUUCCAAGCAAGGCAUCAGCUGCCUAAGAGUGAUUACCUAAGUGGAAGCACCUGACAUGCACAUACUUAAACACACUAGGUGUACACCUGACACCUGCCUGUGAUCCCAUUCCCAUACCUUACUGGAUACACCACACAGAGGAUACGCCUACUAAUGCCUCUUCUGGAAUUUGUUGCUACAAUUUAUUAUUAUACAUUCAAACAAGGCAUCACUCAGGCAGCUUGCUUUGCUGGGCCCCCUGCCCACCUGCCCGGCCCACGCUCCCUGGCUGUAUUUGGAUUCCUUCCCACUCACACUGUGAGUUCCUGUAGGCCACUCAUAAGGGGCAUUUCUGAGGACUCUCGUGUGGGGGUACAGACCACCCGUAUGGAGACAAGUUAUCAGGGAUCCUCAGGACUUUAAUUCUACUCUGGUCCAAAUAAAACUGAGAAACACAACCUUUUGCAUCAUAUACCUUUUCCUCCGAAGAAGACUCACAUGCAAGGGUCGAAACGCGUCAGGAACAUUUUGACUUAAAGAUCAGCCAAUCAUGUUGAUCAAUGUCAUGCAACUUUGAUGCUUUAUCAUCAUAUGUAUGUGUUCUCAAUGUUUAAAUUGUACCAGAGCUCAUUGUUUUAUAAUCAAACUUGUUCUACUUGCUAAAAUAAAUAUCUUUUCUACCUUUUUUACAAAUAUUGGUACGUCUUUGUAAUUUCCCACAACAAGCAACAACAAUUGCUGCCUAAAAACCCCACUGGGGAAACUGUCCUUUUCUUUAUUAUCUAUUUAGGGGUGAGCAGCACUUUCCCCCAUCCCAUUGUGUCCUUAUCCUU